AAGAAAGAGAGAAAGAGAGAAAGAGGGGUUUCUUUUGCCUGCAAAUAACAAAGUUUUCAGUGAGUGCUCCGCAACCAUAGCAUAGUUCUCACUGUAUGGUAGUCACUGCAUACACAAACAACUGCUUUUUUGUUUGUUUUUUAGGGGAUUAUGGCUACACGUUUCUAGGGCAUUAUUACCUAUAUUUAAGUCUAUUUCAUAGUUAGCUAAUUAGACUGUGUUUUCACUGAGGAAAUAAAGAUUUCUGGAUAGAAUCUAUUAUUUUUAAUAGUCACGUAUCCCAAGAGUUCAGAGAUCACACAGUCAAACAUUCAUUACGUUUUGUGCAGGAAUGCAUUGUGAUGAUAUUUUUGCCUUGGAAAGCACACAAAACUAGAUGAGCAAAUACCAUUACUCCACUCCAUGAAUCAAAACAGUAUUUUCCAGGGUAUUUACACACAUCUGAAUAUACAGUCACACAAGACUAUGAUGAUCUUCUUUCUGAAUCCAUUAAGACUUGACAUUUUACUGCAAAGAAAGGUCUGCCCAUAGUUUCAUUCUAAAGGAAAUAGCUUUGAGUUUGCCCUAAUCCUUCCAAGGAGAUUGAGCACAGUAAGAUUCAGCCACUCACCACAUCACAGGAAGCUAGUUCAAAAGGUGGAAUCAGUGGAAGAUAUACUUUCCAGUGGACUAGUAGGUCAAAUCCUCAGCUAAUUGAAAUAAAUAGGCCAAACUGCUUCACCUACAGAUAAGAUCCUUCUUUCCCUGGUACACUGGUGAGGGAGGUAAAUGUAAGAGCCUGUUUCUCUCAGUGUCUGAUUUCUUCAUGUAGCUGUUUUCCCUGGAAGGUUCUUUUACCAUUUCCUACAUGAAAUGCUGGAUUGAAUAUCUAUCUCUGAGAUGUCUCAUUUUCUUUAAUGCCUACAGUUUACCAAAAUAUUAAAAAUAGUGCAAAAUCAUAAAUCUCCUAUUACUUAAAGCCUAAAUUAACAUAAUUAAGACAACUGCUUUUUUUCCAGUCCAUUUCUUCUCAUUUCUUCCAGAAGGCAGAUUCAUUAUAUGCAGGAGAGCUUGUAACUACCAGUGAAAGAAUUUCUGGAAUUGCUACCACUCAAGUUCAAGAUGAACACAUCAUCACUUACCUGAAUAUUACCAGCUGUCAAGGCGACCAGUUUUGUGGUUCAUUAGAAAGACCAAGUCGUAAUGAAAAAAAUUUAUAAUGUUAAAUGCAGUCAUCAAGAGAAAAGGUGAAACAGAAAAGAUUCCAAUGGGGACAUUAGGAGAAAAUUACAGAAAUCUUUAACACAGAUUGAAAAUGCCAGUGAGCAGAGCCAUGAAGUGAAAGAACAAGUCUCACUAUGUUUCCAACAUGGAAUUUACACUGUAAAAAAGAACAACUGAAGAACACACACAGAUGUUUCUAAACUAGUCGGGUAGAUACCAACAAGAUAUUUGCAGGACAAGCUUUCUCUCUGACUGCAUUCAAGCCCACCUUGAUACCACCGCUGCCUUGUCUUCAUGUCAAGUGACUAUGCCUUAAGUAUUGCACAGGGAUCCCUUGACAGUAUCUCUUCCUAGAUACUUUGUCACCCACUGAGGUAAACAGAAUUCACUGUGUGAAUUUCUGAUGGCAUGCCCAGCACAGCAGAUUAACUCUGAAGACAAAGCAUACUACUACGGGAGCUGCAACACAAUGCUUCUCCACCCACAGCCAUAGCUUCAUCUCACUUACAAGUAACCAGCUACUUGUAAUGCCCUCACAACCAUCAAUACACAGUCUGAUAGCUUUUACUCUUACGAAGAAAUAAAAUCCAGUUAAAUCCUUCCUUUUGGAUAAUAACUCAUAUCACAGUGUGCACUCGUAAAAGUGGUGCUAUUUUAUUUAAAUAUUGUGCCUUAGUUAUUGUACAAGCAAUAUAAAUUUUAUUGCAUGUUUUAUUGUUACAUAGCAUUCCGUGCAAUAAAGGCAUCUUAGUCACUUUUUACUCUCCUGAAAAGGAUUGCUUUCCUAUAUGACCAACGUGGCAAUAAGCAUACCUCACUAUGGCUUUUUCUUUAAUAUAAGAAAGUCCUUUUCAUGCUCCACUACCUAUUUUCUUGUGUAUAAAAAUCCUGAAGAACUGGUCAGAGGUUGAGGCAUAAACUCAGCAGCUCUCUGUCAUCAGACCUCAGCAGCCCCUUCCAUGAGGCCCAUAAGAAGGAAAUUCAUUUCCUGACUCUUCCACGCUUGCCUUUCCUGGUAAGAAUAGCAAUACGAGAGAACAUACCAAAGGAAUAAGGAUGGAUUAAUUGCAUUAAUUAGUGUAUAUAAACUGCAUGUUCAUUCCCUGUGACAUUAUUUUAAAAUCAGAUUUUUAUAAAAUUUUAUUUUUCAGCUAGAAAUAAUUGAUCAUUAUGGCAGCCAUGGUUUUGGUCCAUCCAGAAUAAUGGCAUAGGGAUAAUGCAUUGGUAGAGCCAACAGAAUUUUAGUAAGUAGUAUAAAAACCAGCAACUGUCCUGAGUCUGCUUUGAGGCAAUUUUACUGUCUUGACUGCUGGAUUAACCAAUAUCCUAUCAACUGUCCUGGAUCAUCAGAAGCAAAUACCUUUAAUAAAAACCACCACAGAUGCAAUGCUAGAUUUGUUAGACUUCAUCAUAAAUUACAUUAACUCUUUAUUACAUUUACACAGAGCCCCUUACCAAGUGAGGAAUUAUUUGAUUAAUCCUUUUCUAAUGUAAACAACCAAAACACCAGCUCUCCCAAUUACUCUGCCUGUACUAACAGAGUCUACUAAGCAACAGCUGUUCAAACAUUUGUUAAAUCACUUCACAGCAAAUAAGAUUGCAGUGCUGCAUGCCUGUUCCUCAUUUCAACUUUACCACAGCAAUACUGCACAUACACUAAAAACACAUGCCGAAUGCACAAGUAUCUAUAAAAACUAUUUCAUCUUAAUUAACAACGUUUUAGAGGAAACUGGGAAGUUCAAUCGGUAAGAAGCAUCUAAAAAGUUGAAAAAGACAAAUAGAUUCAUUCAUUCUGAAAUAUAAUUCCUAAGAAUAUGCACACAGAAGUGAAAACAACCUGGCCUUAUACUUCAGUGCCCAAAGUCUGACCUGACUAUUGUUAUUUCUAUUUUUUUUAAGCAAUGUGGCAGAACAGAGGGCUCUCUUGAGAGACACUGAGCAAGCAGGUGGUGAAGAGAAUGCCCGGUUCUAACAGAGGCAUGAAGUGACUUGCAGGAAAAAAGCGACUAGAAAGCUGGGGAGCCCUUCUGGCUUCCCAAAAACGUCCUGAUCUAGAAUUUCUUAGUACCGCACCCCUUACACUUAUACAAGAAAAUGUGAAAAUCUUGUCUGAAUUACUGAGCUCUGAAUAAUGAAAGCUUUCUUUCUCUGCACUUCUUCCUUUCCUUCAGGGAGCUCACCAAGAACUUCACUGAUGAGACAAGUAAACAGGUCACUGUCUUAGCUUGCCGAUGCCUCUUUCUGUGCUCAUACUCCAGGUCUUCCAGCCAUAGAAUACUUUCUGGAAUUUGUCAAGAGUGAUGCCCUUGGUAACAAACCCUUCUCAAAGCUGAGACUACAAGCACACAUGGUUCCUUCCAGACACAGGUUUUUCAGAAUGGUUGCCCCUGGAGUCAUUAUCCCCCAGCAAAAUGUCAGGAACCACAUCACAGUUUUACACAAAGGUGAAAGCUGAAGAAUCCAGCAGCCUGCUGGCUUGCAAAGCUGCCUUCUAUCUUGUUGACAAAGGUCUAAUGGAGCCUUGAUACCAAUGCAAGAAAAAAGUAAAGGUUUCUUCACAAGGCAGGUGUGCUUCGAACACCACUCAGUGUCUUUGGAGAGUCCAUCCCUACCCAUUUACCCCUUUAGAUAAAUUUUGUCUUCUUCUUACUAUUAAUUUGUCUUUUACUAUCAAAUUACAGACAUUUCCAAUUUUUUCCACGUUUCUGCUCUUCUCUCUGAGAAAAGCACAAUGCACUGUAUUCACAGAUUUUAUAACGCUGUAAUAAAAGCCCUGUACCAGACUGUAUUUACUGUCUACAUCAAUCAUAUUUGCCUUCAUCAGUAGCACACUUUCAGGUGCAAUGGCAUACAAGCUACAUAAACAGCACUGUCACUUUGACAAUAAUAAAGCAAUAAGGAACACCUCUAAAACAAGAAACCAAAUUCCCAUAAUUCAACUCUGACUCCUCCUCUCCAAAAUCCUUGCAUGAAGCUGACAAGCAGAUGUUUUAUUCUAAUGUCAUGCAUGGUAACAUAGAAUAUAACGUCACAUUAGUAUCAAUGUGGAUACUAUAAAUUGUGCCUUGUAUUCUAUGCAUUCUCACUUGACAUGAAAAACAUACAGAAAACAAAAUAUGUAUCAAUAAAAUAUGUGUAUUGUUAAUAAGCUUUUUGUUUGCAAAAAAUACUUGCAGAAACAAUAGCACUCAUCUUUCUUGUGCUGGACAUCCCACUGAACACAGGGAGAUCACUCUUCUAAGUGCAAUUGCUCUGCUGAGGAUCAUUCUCUCAAAGGUAUCACAAAACGUAUGAAAACUGAUAUCCACUAAUUCAAAAAGUAACACUCCUAAAUGUUUUAAAUGCUGACCUGGACUAUACAAAUAUCAAACAUUAACAAAGGAUGCUCUUCUGAAAGAUAAGACCACAGUUUCUCUUAUAAUAGGGGAGAUUCUACAGCUUGACCUCCUUUAAAAGAAAAGCAAAAAACAACAUACAGCACACACAGCUGUAAAGCUAGACCACAUUAGACUAUAAAAGUAAUCAGGAAUCGCUUUGCAAAAUGUAGAAAGAUGGCUUUACUUUGAAAGAUCCAACACUUAACUCCAAGCAGUUUGAACAAAUAGCUUGCUGUGAACUACAUCUCACGCCACCUAGGUGCUGUGAAAGUGACUGGAGGAAAAUUCUGUUUUAUCAGAAUGAAGACUUCAGUUCCGAUCACUGCUGCUGAAUUUCAGGGAUACGCUGAACGAGUUACUGUGGCCAGUUCUGCAAUCAGUGAGGUCCUUAGGAAAAGUUCUACUGAUUCUACUGGGAGUAGCACGUAAUUAUUAAGCUCUCUGCUUCAGUAAAAAAUUCAGAUAGCUAUUAUUCUUAACAGCCUAGGGAAGAAAGAUCUUCAGACAACAGAUUGGAUUGAAUCCCAAAGCAUUACUAUUGCACUAGUCCAAAAGAAAAAAUUACAUGCAAGAGGGCGAUUUUCAGCGGCUCAAGUACAUAUUCUAGUGAAGAAAAAGGGAGUUUAACUGCUAUUGGAUAAGUGGGAGAUAGCAAACAAUGUUAGCAUGAAAUUACUUUCUCAACAUAUAAUGGAUUUUUAAUUUUGUUGAUAAGUAACUCUUGCUCUCAAAAUCAACAGGACAACUAGAUGACAAGAUUAAGCCAAGCUUCCAGAUCAGACCUGACUCACAGAACACAAAGCAGCCCAGGAACUCAGUUCAGCUGUUACGUAAACUUGGGUUCCGUUUGGCUUCUGCAACCUUAAAUGGAAUCUAUAAACUACCAAAGCUCCUCAAAUCAAAAGGAACUCAAGACUACGUUUCAUAUCUGGAUUUACAAACUGCAUGCUUUCUGCCUGGAUACCUCACCACACCCACAGAUUAUUUUUAAUGCUUUUCUCGUAAAAAGAAGACUUCUGUUAAAAUAUCGAAGGUUGAAUCAUGUUUAAAGACAGAAGGCAAAGGUAUACAGGAAAGCAUUAACCCUACUAAGCCAAGGGUCAUUCUCAGAUUUUUACUGACGUGACAUUGGAGAGUUCCUAGCAGAACUCAGUAAUGAAACAAUUCCUCAGAGUGACACAAGCAUGCUCCAUUUACAGGAGGAAAAACUGUAUCCUUGGAUCAAAUCUAGGGAACCAAAUGUCACAGUGGUUCCUAUCCACUGUUCAUACUUCAUCUACACAUAUAUACCUGUUCUGGACUUUCCCCUCGUAGCAUUCUAUGCUUGAGCUGGAGAAUUUAGCAGCUUGGUCAACAUUCCCUGGAUAUUAUCUCAAGUUACAUUAAAAAUAACUCUUAAAAAUUAAUGCUUUUGCAGAAGUUUUCUGGUGAGAGCACAGCAUUGCCAGAGCACAGGCUCCUGAAAAGAGGCUGAAGAACCAUUGGAUACGAAGCCAGAGCCCGUGCACAACGCCCUGCAAAUAGAGGUUUACAGCUUCUGCACUCAUUCCCUGAGAGAUGGACAGCUCAAGGAAGUAGAAGUACUGUGUUGGAGUCUUUCAGGAAGCAGAUCUGCUAAACCAGGGGCUUUGUCCAACACACACAAAAAAAAAAAAAAAAAAAAAAAAAAAAAUCCCCCUGAGAAACAAAGGAAGAUGUGAAGAGAUGAGUGAAAAGGCAGUGUGUCAGCAAAGGAAAGCUCUCCUAGCAGGACUGAGGGAAUGCUGUCCUCGAAGCUCUCCAUGAACUGUCUGAAAAGGCUUUCUGAUGGGAUCACAAAAAGCUCAAGGGGAAAAAAGGUCAACAGAAACAAGCAUAAAUUUCAGCAAAGACAAAGUCUGCAUCAUCUUUUACAUUUCAAGAUCCCUAUCUGCUUAGAAACUCGAUUGCUCAACUUCUAGUUUGCAUGUCUUUGACAACCUUCGUUGAAAUCAUAUGCAAAUACUAAAUUUAUUACAGUUAGGGGUAACGUGAGAUGCUUUCUUAUUCAUUUAAUCAUAUCCAUCUGUUAAUUCCAGAAGAUGGUAGCUUUGAAUUGUAUUGUUAUUUGCAUUACCAGGAAUUGGGAGUAACCUAAGUAUGUGGUUACUUCAGUUUUAUUGAAGGCUGGGUUUUUGUUUUGUUUUUUUUUUUACUAUUUUGCAUAUUAAAUGUAGACAACCUGAGAAUCUUGAA